CUAAAAACUCAGAAACAUAAACUCUGAAUCCAAGACAAUCAUGUUUCUUUACCAUUUAUAUUUCAAAACAUAUUAUAUCAUGAUUUAAAUUUUCAAAAUAUAAUUCAAAUAUAAUAUCAAUCAUUUAUGUAUGUUGUAUAAUAUAAAAACUCUUUAGAUUCGCGUCGAGUUUGAAUUUGGAUCGGCUACAAACAAAAUUCAUUUUCGAAUUCGAAUUUUUCGAAUUUUUAUUUUGUAUACUCAUAUCCGAAGUCACGUACGUUUAUUAGCAUCUAAGAAAUGUACUCCAUUCUUAUUCGAGUUGGAAUAAAACUUCGAAUAUCUGUACUCUUUGACAUUCUUACACAUAGGAUUAGAUAAAAUAUACAAUAUACAAUCCAAAUGAAAUAUAUAAGUAAUAUUUUUUAUGAUAAUAUUAAUAAUAACAAUAUUGGUCUCGGACUGAUCAAAUCAUUUUUCUGGUAAUAAUGUGU
rnacentral:lncRNA from 1 species